UCGCUGGAGCCGCCGAAGGCCAUGAGC
rnacentral:piRNA from 1 species